UCCCUUUUAAAUGCCAAGAGGUCCGCAGCUUUCUGUCGCCGGUAUUUAAAAUUCUCUGAUUUUUUUAACAAAAAGUGAAUUUUAUGUACACUAUAUUUGUUCGUAAACUCUUGUUUGUGACAUCGCUGAGCUCUCCAAAUAACUUUGAUCGAGAGAUGGUGUCCCGACGAAUUGGAUCAAAGGGUGACGCUCCAGAGCGCGACGCGGCCUUCUUCCGAAGAGGAGACCUGGAUCAUCUCCUGAACUUGAUGUUCUUCUUUACGAUGACCUACAUAUGUAGCAUGCAUGAUCUCAGAUGAGGCUUUAUUUUUUUAAUUGGGAUCGAAAGUGACUGGUGAGGCAUAUUCAUCGAAAAGGGUCAAAUCUGCAGAAGAGGGCAACAACACCUCGGACGCGACGUGAAGAAUUUUUUGUUUUGCAUCUGCCUGACGUGAUUUAUGGGUAGAGAUUCGGGAUAGAAAGGCUAGCAUAGCCCAGGCUCAACCCAAAACCAACUAAAAAGAUAAUUCAAUCAAAGAAGAUUCCAGAUGAAAUAUUGUAAGACGCGUGUGAUUGGUCCCAAAAUAUCUUUGGUCCCAAAGCUUCUUCGGAUUCUCCAAGGCACCGUCGAAUACCUGAUGACGUGUACCAACUCUAGAGAAUCGCCCGAUGUCCAGGAAGUUGGGGCAUUCGCCAUGCCCAGGUGCAGUCUGACGUAACUGCCUUUUCGUCCUGUAUAUACAGGGUGCCCCAGAAAUUAAUGCAAGUAUUUUAAGGGGUGGUAGAUCUUGAUAAAAGAAACAUAUUUUCUCUUUAUCGUUUUUCAGAUAAGUC